rnacentral:rRNA from 1 species
UACAGAGGGGGCAAGCGUUGUUCGGAAUUACUGGGCGUAAAGGGCGCGUAGGCGGCCUGUUAAGUCGGACGUGAAAUCCCUGGGCUCAACCCAGGAACUGCGUCCGAUACUGGCAGGCUUGAAUUCGGGAGAGGGAUGUGGAAUUCCAGGUGUAGCGGUGAAAUGCGUAGAUAUCUGGAGGAACACCGGUGGCGAAGGCGGCAUCCUGGACCGAUAUUGACGCUGAGGCGCGAAAGCCAGGGGAGCAAACGGG